rnacentral:lncRNA from 10 species
UAACCAGCUGCAGUACUUUUUGUGUGGUGUGGAAGUGUUUGUUUUUUGCAAUAGAUUUUUGUUGCAGUUUAGGUUUGUAUUUUCUUUGUUUUGUAGUGCUUAUUAUGAAGGUUCGUAGGUUUAUGUCUGUAGGCCAGGCAGGUCAUUAAACUUAACAAAGAAUAAGUAAGUCGGGAGAGGGGAAUAGAAAUCUCCACAUACAUAUUCUUAAAAGCUGUAACACUCACCACAAAGAUCUGCUGAGUGAAGUCUGUGAGACGAACGCACCAAGUCUGGACGCUCUGUCAGGCUACAUUUUACGUUUUUGGGAGUGAGCAGGUGUUAUUCUGUUCCCCGGGUUGGUUUUGAAGUCAUGGCUCUCAAGUAAUUUUUGUGCUUCUCAAAAGUGCUGGAAUUGCAAAGAGUUCAAACAUUGAAUUAGUUGUGCAAUGGAAGGAGUAUUACCAGGACCCAGAUGCAGCCCAAGGAAAAAAGAAAACAAAAGGAGACACACACAGACACCAGAGCAUGAUGCAAGUGUGGCUUAAUCGGUGCUUGCACAUUGGGCUUGUUCUUUCCAAACCUGUUGCCCCGAUUCUGCAAGGCUAUCCUGCUGUAGAAGGAGGCCCUGGAGGACAAGACACCAUGUGGGGAAAACAGCCAUGGGGAGCAGAACCGAGGUAUCCCAGCUUAGCUCCCAACUGACAGCAGCCACAUGAGUGAGCAGAAAAACAACUUCCAAGGGUGAUUUAGCUACUGCUGCUGUGGAAUGUCAAAACUUUCAGCAAGGGAGCCCGAUGCAGAUCUGUUGAUAUGACACCAUUCCACAAGAAGACCAACUGAUGGCUUUGUGGCAAGUUGACUACACUGGGCUGUUUCUAUUCUGGGAAGACAGAGAUUUGUUCUAAGAGGAAUAGGCAUGUGUUGCAGGCAUAGGUUGACCUUUCCUGCCAUGGAGCCUCCUCUGGUACCACUAUUUGAAGGUUGAAGGAAUGUUGAUUCACCAGGAUUGAGUCAGACCAGCCAAGCCUAUGACCAUGAUGUCAACUGACUGUAUCACCUGUCACAUCAUCCAGAAGCUACAGACUUAUAAGGCAUUGGAAUAACUUGUAGAUGGCCCCGUUAAAGUACCAGCUUAGAGGCAACACUCCAUGAGAAUGAGACAUCAUCUCCAGGAUGGCACAUACACAUUGAAUCACACAGCAUUGAUAAGGAGAUGGCUCCCCAGUAGGAAGAAUAUAUUGGUCAUGAACCAAGGGAUGAAGCAGAAGUGUCUUGCUUCCUGUCCCUGCAGCCUCUCUUUCUGCAGUGCUAGAAAUCCUGGUCAAAAGGGGGCAUAAUUUUAUCAGGGGACACAGCAAAAGUCUCCACUACAUUGCAGCUAUGCCUGCUGCCUGGGGAUUUUGGGCUUCUUAUAAUUGGGACCAGCAAUAAAAGAGAAGAGUCACAGUCUUGGCAGGGCUAAUUGACCCUGAUCAGCAGGAGAAGAAAGGCUGUGGUUCCACUAUGAGGGUAGGGAAGACGUGUGGCACCACUGAUCCACUUUUGCAACCCAUGGUACUCCCGUGGCCAGUUGUGAUGACAGACAAGUGCAGGAACACUUUUGGGAAGGGCAUGGUGGCCAGAGUUCAGACCCCAUGGGAAUGAGGACCAGGGUCACACCACUGGAUAAGCCAGGAGGAAGAGAGGCCCACUGGAAGGCUGGAGGAGCUGCUCCCCAGAUGUAGAUGAAGUAGAUUUGAGCAGCACAGUGGUGGACCUAGUAGAGGCGGACAUCAAGAUCCUCUUCAAGGAAAGAUUAUCAAUAUAGUUUUCCCUGACCCAGGUGCCAUGUGUUUUCUGUCAUAUUCACGUAUGCUAAUACAUAAUUGUGCAAGUGGGGUAAUAUCUGGGACACUUCAUGGUUCAUAUCAAAACACAGAGUGAAGAGAACAUCCUCUGGGCCAUCUCAGAGUGUGAGUUUGGGGCGGGGGUGGCUCCUGGUUAACAUUUCUGUCCACUGCAGCAUUCCUUUUCCCUUUUGCUUUUAGAUUCUUCCCUUGACAUCACACCAGGAAAGUCUGACAACUUAACUUUAUUGGAUAUAGGCAACCGUUGAAUCCAAGUUUUGCCCACUGAAUCCAUCAAAUUGUUACAGCCAAUUCUAGAUGCCUGAGUGGACACAUGAAAUCCAGAUUCCCCAGUAAGCGCAUCCCCAUUAAUAAACUGACCAAAUGCAAUGUUAAUCUGUUCUAUAACCUUUAGAAUCCAUCCCAACAUAUAUUUUUUAGGUUCCUGCCAAGAUAUGUUAGCAAAAGCUUGCAAUUUUUUGAAAAAUGAAUUAUCUCUUCCUGGGACAUGUGUUGUACUUUUCUCUCUGAAAUAGGCUGAGCUCUGACUCCAUUAAAAGUCUGAAAGCAAUGAAGAGUGAAGGAGCGGAUAUUGGGGAGAAUAGGCAUCCUCUUGCAAGAUAACUGCCUCAAAGUCAUUAUAAGGUUUUCAAGCAAGAGAAAGCUAAUUUCCUUACACAUAUGAAGAAGCGUUGCUUCUCCUGGCAAGAAAUACACAGUGAAUCAGGGAUUCAAAAUUCUUAGCUUUAUCUAAGUUUACCCAGAUGUGUCUAUCCUUCCCAAUCAGUGCUCUUGGCAGGAGACUUGGCAAGUCUGCGAAGUCAACUUAUGUUAUAAUUCUGCAACCCACACAAGUUCUUAUUUUCAAUGAGGGUAACCUUGCAGCCACACAAAAUAGCAAAAUUUUUUAAGGAGUACCAUAGACACACUCUGGUUCUCUGUGUUCAGUGUUUUAAGCCUAUCUUUUUGUUCCCCUGUAAGCUCUUCAAUGUAGUCCAAAAUACACCAUCUGUGGUAGGCAGAAUUCUAAGAAGGUUCCAAAGAUUCUCACCCAUGGUGUAGAGAACUUGUAUAAUUUUCUCCCCUAAAGUGUAGGUGGAGCCCGUGAAUAGGAUGGGAUAUUAAUACCAUGAUUGUGUUAUAUUUUGAGACAAAAAAAAUUUUGUAGAUGUAAUUAAAGGUACUAAUCAGUUGACUAUGAGUUUAUCAAAAGGGAGAUCAUCCAGGUGGGCCUGACCUAAUCAUAUCAGCCCUCUAAAUCCUGGUCUAUGGGUCAGAGAAAGAGGAAGGCAGAGAUUUAAAGCAUGAGAGAAAUUCAAAGCAAACUAGAUUCUCCAUUGCUGUCUUUGAAGACAGGCAGCCAUGUGGCAAGGAAUGUGGGUAGCCGAUAGUGGCCGAUGACAGCUCCCAGCCCACACUUCAAGUUUAGCCUCGUAGGGCCCUGAGCAGGGGACACAACUAUACUGCAUUUACAAC